rnacentral:rRNA from 1 species
CCUACGGGUGGCUGCAGUGGGGGAUAUUGCACAAUGGGGGGAACCCUAAUGCAGCGACGCCGCGUGGGUGAAGAAGCGCCUCGGCGCGUAAAGCCCUGUCAGCAGGGAAGAAAAUGACGGUACCUGAAGAAGAAGCCCCGGCUAACUACGUGCCAGCAACCGCGGUAAUACGUAGGGGGCAAGCGUUAUCCGGAUUUACUGGGUGUAAAGGGGGCGCAGGCGGCGAUGCAAGCCAGGAGUGAAAGCCCGGGGCCCAACCCCGGGACGGCUCUUGGAACUGCGUGGCUGGAGUGCACGAGGGGCAGGCGGAAUUGCUGGUGUAGCGGUGAAAUGCGUAGAUAUCAGGAGGAACACCGGUGGCGAAGGCGGCCCCCUGGACGAAGACUGACGCUCAGGUGCGAAAGCGUGGGGAGCAAACAGGAUUAGAUACCCCAGUAGUC